GGCAAAUGAUGGUUUUUUUCUCACGAUGGUCUGCGGAUGCCACUGGGCGCUGCCGAUGAUGCUGAUGGCUUAGCUGAUGUGGGCGG